UACGAAGGGGGCUAGCGUUGUUCGGAAUUACUGGGCGUAAAGCGCACGUAGGCGGAUUGUUAAGUUAGGGGUGAAAUCCCAGGGCUCAACCCUGGAACUGCCUUUAAUACUGGCAAUCUCGAGUCCGAGAGAGGUGAGUGGAAUUCCGAGUGUAGAGGUGAAAUUCGUAGAUAUUCGCAAGAACACCAGUGGCGAAGGCGGCUCACUGGCCCGAUACUGACGCUGAGGUGCGAAAGCGUGGGGAGCAAACAGG
rnacentral:rRNA from 1 species